rnacentral:lncRNA from 1 species
AAAAAAGCAAAAUGUUGCAAUGAGUUUGUGUUUGUGUAUGUGUAUUCAAAUUCUACGUUGUCUCAUAUUCGGGUUUACGUCGAAAGAUAUACGUAUAUAUAUGUUUGGUAAUCAUGAUCUCAUAUUUGUCCUUUUUCGACUUUUUAUUUUGUAUGCAUGGUUUGAUAUUCGGUAAAAUCGAAUUGUAGCCUGGUAUCCCGGCCCAAUAUCUAGCUGCGCGUCGUAAGAUUAGCCAGGAUCCCAGGCUAAAUCGAAUUGUAUAUCUUUCUGAAAUAAAGUCAGUUUAUACAACUCGUAUUCAUGCGGAAUCUAGCAUGUAACAGUGUCAUAUAUUUAUAAUAUUGUUUACUUAGGGUUGUCAAAUUAUUUACGAGUGUCAACAUUGUAUUUACAAACUCAGCGUGUUGUCUUGAAAGAUAUAUCACACACGGAAAAGACUGAUCACACGUAUAAGAAAUCAAAAUCAUGCGCUAUAACUCGUACUGGCUUGCACUGAGGUCAAUAGUUAGCCAUGGGCCAUAUCAAUGGUAAAUCAGGUGCUGACUACUGGGCUGGUGAUACCCUCGGGAAUAAAACCAGCAGUGGCUUCGACCCAUUGGUUGAUUUUCGAGGAAAACAUCAAAUGUACAUAAUCUGCAUGGCAACAUCAAUGAACAAAUUCUGAUAAUGACCAGUUCAACAUUUUAUUCCAUAUCACUGAUAAAUUCAAUAUGCAGAAAAAGUUAAGUUAUUCUAUUUAUCAUUUAAUU